UGUUGUAGUCUAGACCACACUAACCGAGACCAAGACAUACCCGAGACCAGAGUGAUCCAAGACCGAGACAAGACCAAGACAUUUAGGGGACGAGACCGAGGCAAGACCAAGACAUUUAGGGAUCGAGACUGAGUCAAGACCAAGACAUUUAGGGAUCGAGACCGAGUCAAGACCAAGACAUUUAGGGGUCGAGACCGAGUCAAGACCAAGACAUUUAGGGAUCGAGACCGAGUCAAGACCAAGACAUUUAGGGGUCGAGACCGAGUCAAGACCAAGACAUUUAGGGGUCGAGACCGAGUCAAGACCAAGACAUUUAGGGAUCGAGACCGAGACAAGACCAAGACAUUUAGGGAUCGAGACCGAGUCAAGACCAAGACAUUUAGGGGGCGAGACCGAGUCAAGACCAAGACAUUUAGGGAUCGAGACCGAGUCAA